UUCAUUCUGCUUCUACUUCUGAACCACUCAAACUUCCUAAGUGUGAAGAAAGCCAUGCGGGUUCGACUUCAGGAGCUCAGCAAGAUUGUGCAAAAACUCUUGAUCGUAAGGCAUUAAGGAGACUUGCCCAAAAUAGGGAGGCAGCAAGGAAAAGCAGACAUAGAAAAAAGGCAUCAUCCAUCUGAUUAUAUAUUAAAUUAUUUAGUC